CGCUCGCCCACCCUAAGUGUGCAGCCUCCCGGGCAGUGAGGGGGCACUGCCCCUGGUCCCCCGGAGUCCCCUCCCCGCCGUCAGGAAGGAGGGGAAAUAGGCAAAAGGGUUGGGGGAGGGGAAGAGGAAUGGUUGUCAAAGGGAAUGAGUGGCCUGGAGACACAGGUCACACUUUGAGUAGGACGCGAUACCACGGUGACUCCGGACAGAGUGAGUGCCUGUGCACUCAAAGGAGAGAGAGAGACCCCAGCUAGUCCUGGCUUGGGGGGAUGCAGGUAGGUUUGGGAGACUCCAGACUGUGGAGCUGUCCUCUUCUUGACACAUAACUGAAAAUAAUGGCCAUGGGAAACAAGUAACCAGAGCACUGCUCAUCUCCAGCUGAUGGUGGUAUGGGAGACUGAACCUGGGGCUUUGGAGCCUCAGAGGCAGAAGUUCAGAAGAAAGGGAAAAGAGAGCACUACUUCACUGCUGCUUGAAAACUUCCCUACGCAGGUGGGGACUGGGGCGCUUGAACCUGGGUCCAUGUGCACUGAAAUGUGUGUGCUCUGUUAGGUGUGCCACCACCACAGGAUUUAUUUCAUGUGAGGCAGAGACAAAGAGAAAUGGAUGCCAAGCAGGGAGAGAGCACAUACUGGAGUUGAAACAGGGAUCCUCAAGCAUGCAGGUCUCCAGCUACUCCAAUGGAGUUAACCACCCGCCAACACACAGACACACACAGACACCCACACAGACACACACACACACACACACACACACACACACAGACACACACACACACACACGCUACCCCUUGAUGGAAGCUUUUGAUUUUGUUUGGAACCCGUCCCAAGUCUCCUGGUCCCACAAGCUGUGGUCCCAGUGCAAGAAAAGAAAAGUCUGGAAACUGAACAAGGCGGCAUUGUGCACUGAAGGCAGUUUCUGAAAGGGAUUUUCAGGAAAGGAGAAAGAAAGUUAAAAAUCAUUCAGACAGUAAAAGCAACAUCUGAAAUAAGCAGUGUAGGCUGAGUCGAGGGUUUUGGUUUUCAAGCCAUCCCUUUGACUUUUACUCUGGCUUUAAAUAUGAAAUAGAUUCCUGGCUUUUGACAAUGACAGAGGAGCGGGAGUGGCCUCAGGGGUCUCUCUCUUUCUCAGGUGUGUGUGUGUGU